rnacentral:rRNA from 1 species
AAGUGGGAAACGAAGUGGGAAGGCUAAAACAGUCAGGAUGUUGGCUUAGAAGCAGCCAUCAUUUAAAGAAAGCGUAAUAGCUCACUGAUCGAGUCGUCCUGCGCGGAAGAUGUAACGGGGCUAAGCCAGUUACCGAAGCUGCGGAUGUGCAAUUUAUUGCACGUGGUAGGAGAGCGUUCUGUAAGCCUGUGAAGGUGGGUUGUGAAGCCUGCUGGAGGUAUCAGAAGUGCGAAUGCUGACAUGAGUAGCGUUAAAGGGGGUGAAAAGCCCCCUCGCCGAAAGCGCAAGGUUUCCUACGCAACGUUCAUCGGCGUAGGGUGAGUCGGCCCCUAAGGUGAGGCAGAGAUGCGUAACUGAUGGGAAACAGGUGAAUAUUCCUGUACCGAUGUGUAGUGCGAUGUGGGGACGGAGAAGGUUAGCUCAGCCAACUGUUGGAUAUGUUGGUUCAAGCGUGUAGUCGUAUCCCUUAGGCAAAUCCGGGGGAAUUAGAUGAGGCGUGAUAACGAGUCUGCUUGCAGACGAAGUGAGUGAUACCCUGCUUCCAAGAAAAGCCACUAAGCUUCAGCUACACACGACCGUACCGCAAACCGACACUGGUGCGCGAGAUGAGUAUUCUAAGGCGCUUGAGAGAACUCUGGAGAAGGAACUCGGCAAAUUGACACCGUAACUUCGGAAGAAGGUGUGCCUUUAGUAGGUGAACCAUUUACUUGGGGAGCCCAAUGAGGCCGCAGAGAAUCGGUGGCUGCAACUGUUUAUUAAAAACACAGCACUCUGCAAAGACGAAAGUCGACGUAUAGGGUGUGACUCCUGCCCGGUGCUGGAAGAUUAAAUGAUGGGGUGCAAGCUCUUGACUGAAGUCCCAGUAAACGGCGGCCGUAACGAUAACGGUCCUAAGGUAGCGAAAUUCCUUGUCGGGUAAGUUCCGACCUGCACGAAUGGAGUAAUGAUGGCCACACUGUCUCCUCCAGAGACUCAGCGAAGUUGAAAUGUUUGUGAUGAUGCAAUCUCCCCGCGGAAAGACGGAAAGACCCCAUGAACCUUUACUGUAGCUUUACAUUGGACUUAGAACAGAUCUGUGUAGGAUAGGUGGGAGGCUUUGAAACCAGGACGCUAGUUUUGGUGGAGCCAACGUUGAAAUACCACCCUGGUGUGUUUGAGGUUCUAACCUUGGCCCGUUAUCCGGGUCGGGGACAGUGUAUGGUGGGCAGUUUGACUGGGGCGGUCACCUCCCAAAGUGUAACGGAGGAGUUCGAAGGUACGCUAAAUACGGUCGGAAAUCGUGUUGAUAGUGCAUUGGCAUAAGCGUGCUUGACUGCGAGACUGACAAGUCGAGCAGGUACGAAAGUAGGACAAAGUGA